rfam:Bacteroides oleiciplenus YIT 12058 genomic scaffold supercont1.4, whole genome shotgun sequence.
AGCCGCAUUGAUUGGAUCGGGAAACUCAUCAAACUAUUAUGAAAUACCGAGACAAGCUUCGCUUCUCAAUGGCGGGCCACGCCCUUCGGGGUAACCUUUGAGUCGGUGGAUUACAAAGAGGACGAGCGCUCAAAUCAUGUCAUUCGGAGUUUCAUCACAUCAUCGGUGCGGCUUUUUAU